rnacentral:rRNA from 1 species
GACGAACGCUGGCGGCGUGCUUAACACAUGCAAGUCGAACGAUGAAGCCUUUCGGGGUGGAUUAGUGGCGAACGGGUGAGUAACACGUGGGCAAUCUGCCCUGUACUUUGGGAUAAGCCUUGGAAACGGGGUCUAAUACCGGAUAUGACUGGCCUUGCAUGGGGUUGGUUCGAAAGUUCUGGCGGUACAGGAUGAGCCCGCGGCCUAUCAGCUUGUUGGUGGGGUAAUGGCCUACCAAGGCGACGACGGGUAGCCGGCCUGAGAGGGCGACCGGCCACACUGGGACUGAGACACGGCCCAGACUCCUACGGGAGGCAGCAGGUGGGGAAUAUUGCACAAUGGGCGAAAGCCUGAUGCAGCGACGCCGCGUG